UUCCGGUUGAUCCUGCCGGACCCCACUGCUAUCGGGAUGGGACUAAGACAUGCUAGUCGAGCGUCUCUAAGCUAUGGAAGAGACGCGGCACACAGCUCAGUAACACGUGGCUAACCUGCCCUUGGGACAAGGACAACUCCGGGAAACUGGGGCUAAUCCCCGAUAAGUGAGAACUCCUGGAAUGGAUUCUCGCUGAAAGGACGUUUAGACCAUGCUUCUAGGCGUCGCCCAAGGAGGGGGCCGCGACCGAUCAGGUUGUUGGUGAGGUAACGGCUCACCAAGCCUUUAACCGGUACGGGCCGUGAGAGCGGAAGCCCGGAGAUGGGCACUGAGACAAGGGCCCAGGCCCUACGGGGCGCAGCAGUCGCGAAAACUCCGCAAUACACGAAAGUGUGACGGGGCCAUCCCGAGUGCCAUCCGCUGAGGAUGGCUUUUCCCCAGUGUAUAAAGCUGGGGGAAUAAGGAGAGGGCAAGCCUGGUGUCAGCCGCCGCGGUAAUACCAGCUCUCCGAGUGGUGGGGAUGUUUAUUGGGCCUAAAGCAUUCGUAGCCUGCUUGGCAAGUCCUCCGUUAAAUCCAACGAUUCAAUCGUUGGGCUGCGGGGGAUACUGUCCAGCUAGGGGGCGGGAGAGGCCGACGGUAUCCCCGGGGUAGGGGUGAAAUCCUAUAAUCCCGGGAGGACCACCAGUGGCGAAGGCUGUCGGCUAGAACGCGCUCGACGGUGAGGGAUGAAAGCUGGGGGAGCGAACCGGAUUAGAUACCCGGGUAGUCCCAGCUGUAAACGAUGCAGGCUAGGUGUUGGCGCGGCUACGUGCCGCUCCAGUGCCGCAGGGAAGCCGUUAAGCCUGCCGCCUGGGAAGUACGGCCGCAAGGCUGAAACUUAAAGGAAUUGGCGGGGGAGCACCACAAGGUGUGAAGCUUGCGGUU
rnacentral:rRNA from 1 species